rnacentral:misc_RNA from 1 species
UAGGAGCGAAGCUGGCUCGCGAUAGCGGUUGUCCGGUCGACACCUGCUGUCCGGUCUGACGCCAUCGCGAGCCAGCUUCGCUCCUA